UGAGGAAUAUUGGGCAGUGCCCGCAAGGGUGACCCAGCAACGCCGCGUGGAGGAUGAAUGUCGUAAGAUUGUAAACUCCUGUUAGAGGGGAAGAAUAGUACCGGUUGGACCGGUAUAUGACUGUACCCUCAGAGGAAGCCCCGGCUAACUACGUGCCAGCAGCCGCGGUAAUACGUAGGGGGCAAGCGUUGUCCGGAUUUACUGGGUGUAAAGGGCGCGCAGGCGGGAUAAAAAGUCAGUGGUGAAAUCCUACAGCUUAACUGUAGAACUGCCUUUGAUACUUUUAUUCUUGAGUUCGGGAGAGAGAGACGGAAUUCCAGGUGUAGUGGUGAAAUACGUAGAUAUCUGGAAGAACACCAGUUGCGAAGGCGGUCUCUUGGUCCGACACUGACGCUGAGGCGCGAAAGCGUGGGGAGCAAACA
rnacentral:rRNA from 1 species